rnacentral:rRNA from 1 species
GCAUAUCAAUAAGCGGAGGAAAAGAAACCAACAGGGAUUGCCUUAGUAACUGCGAGUGAAGCGGCAAAAGCUCAGAUUUGAAACCUGUCGCCUUCGGCGAUCGGAUUGUAAUCUGGAGAGACAUCUUCUGGCGGGCAGCCGGUCCAAGUUCCUUGGAACAGGACGUCGGAGAGGGUGAGAAUCCCGUAUCUGGCCGGUUUGUUCUGCCUUGUGAAGCGUCUUCGACGAGUCGAGUUGUUUGGGAAUGCAGCUCAAAAUGGGUGGUAAAUUUCAUCUAAAGCUAAAUAUUGGCGAGAGACCGAUAGCGCACAAGUAGAGUGAUCGAAAGAUGAAAAGCACUUUGAAAAGAGAGUCAAAAAGUACGUGAAAUUGUUGAAAGGGAAGCGCUUGAGACCAGACUCGGGUUGGGGUGAUCAGCGGUGCUUCUGUGCCGUGCACUUGUCCCUUCCCGGGCCAGCAUCGGUUGUGACGGCGGGAUAAAGGCCCGAGGAAUGUGGCUCCCUUCGGGGAGUGUUAUAGCCUCGGGCGCAAUGCCGCCUGCCGCGACCGAGGACCGCGCUUCGGCUAGGAUGCUGGCAUAAUGGUCUUCAGCGACCCGUCUUGAAACACGGACCAAGGAGUCUAACAUCUAUGCGAGUGUUCGGGUGUAAAACCCCUGCGCGUAAUGAAAGUGAACGGAGGUGGGAACCCUUCACGGGGUGCACCAUCGACCGAUCCUGAUGUCUUCGGAUGGAUUUGAGUAGGAGCAUAGCUGUUGGGACCCGAAAGAUGGUGAACUAUGCCUGAAUAGGGUGAAGCCAGAGGAAACUCUGGUGGAGGCUCGCAGCGGUUCUGACGUGCAAAUCGAUCGUCAAA